AGACUAAAUCCCUCUGUUUAGCCACAGAGCAGGUACAGUGCAGGUGGCAAUGGAGCAAGCUUCCCCCAGACUGCCCCGCGCCUGGGUCUCCUCCUGAGCAGAAGGCUGAGGGGUGAGUUUGAGUCU
rnacentral:sRNA from 1 species